rnacentral:rRNA from 1 species
CACGUAGGGGGCAAGCGUUGUCCGGAUUUAUUGGGCGUAACGAGCUCGUAGGUGGUUCGGUAAGUCGGGUGUUAAACCCCCAGGCUCAACCUGGGGACGCCACUCGAUACUGCUGUGACUAGAGUCCGGUAGGGGAGCGUGGAAUUCCUGGUGUAGCGGUGAAAUGCGCAGAUAUCAGGAGGAACACCAGCGGCGAAAGCAGCGCUCUGGGCCGGUACUGACACUGAGGAGCGAAAGCGUGGGUAGCAAACAGG